rnacentral:rRNA from 1 species
GAUGAACGCUGGCGGCGUGCCUAGUACAUGCAAGUCGAGCGAACGGACGAGAAGCUUGCUUUUCUGAUGUUAGCGGCGGACGGGUGAGUAACACGUGGAUAACCUACCUAUAAGACUGGGAUAACUUCGGGAAACCGGAGCUAAUACCGGAUAAUAUUUUGAACCGCAUGGUUCAAAAGUGAAAGACGGUCUUGCUGUCACUUAUAGAUGGAUCCGCGCUGCAUUAGCUAGUUGGUAAGGUAACGGCUUACCAAGGCAACGAUGCAUAGCCGACCUGAGAGGGUGAUCGGCCACACUGGAACUGAGACACGGUCCAGACUCCUACGGGAGGCAGCAGUAGGGAAUCUUCCGCAAUGGGCGAAAGCCUGACGGAGCAACGCCGCGUGAGUGAUGUAGGUCUUCGGAUCGUAAAACUCUGUUAUUAGGGAAGAACAUAUGUGUAAGUAACUGCGCACAUCUUGACGGUACCUAAUCAGAAAGCCACGGCUAACUACGUG